rnacentral:rRNA from 1 species
UACGAAGGGGGCUAGCGUUGCUCGGAAUUACUGGGCGUAAAGGGCGCGUAGGCGGCUCAUACAGUCAGAUGUGAAAUUCCUGGGCUUAACCUGGGGGCUGCAUUUGAUACGUGUGGGCUUGAGUGGGGAAGAGGGUCGUGGAAUUCCCAGUGUAGAGGUGAAAUUCGUAGAUAUUGGGAAGAACACCGGUGGCGAAGGCGGCGACCUGGUCCUUGACUGACGCUGAGGCGCGAAAGCGUGGGGAGCAAACAGG